AUUGAACGCUGGCGGCAUGCCUUACACAUGCAAGUCGAACGGCAGCACGGGAGCAAUCCUGGUGGCGAGUGGCGAACGGGUGAGUAAAGUAUCGGAACGUGCCCAGUCGUGGGGGAUAACGUAGCGAAAGUUACGCUAAUACCGCAUACGAUCUGUGGAUGAAAGCGGGGGAUCGCAAGACCUCGCGCGAUUGGAGCGGCCGAUAUCAGAUUAGGUAGUUGGUGGGGUAAAGGCUCACCAAGCCGACGAUCUGUAGCCGGUCUGAGAGGACGACCAGCCACACUGGGACUGAGACACGGCCCAGACUCCUACGGGAGGCAGCAGUGGGGAAUUUUGGACAAUGGGCGCAAGCCUGAUCCAGCCAUGCCGCGUGCAGGAUGAAGGCCUUCGGGUUGUAAACUGCUUUUGUACGGAACGAAAAGGUUUGACUUAAUACGUUGGACUCAUGACGGUACCGUAAGAAUAAGCACCGGCUAACUACGUGCCAGCAGCCGCGGUAA
rnacentral:rRNA from 1 species